rfam:Schistosoma margrebowiei strain Zambia genome assembly, scaffold: SMRZ_contig0002266
GCACUGCUGAGGAGUCCCAUACUAAGACGAAACCGCCGUCCAGUGC